rnacentral:rRNA from 1 species
GACAGAGGGUGCAAACGUUGCUCGGAAUCACUGGGCGUAAAGCGCACGUAGGCGGAUUUCUAAGUCAGGGGUGAAAUCCUGGAGCUCAACUCCAGAACUGCCUUUGAUACUGGGAAUCUCGAGUCCGGGAGAGGUGAGUGGAACUGCGAGUGUAGAGGUGAAAUUCGUAGAUAUUCGCAAGAACACCAGUGGCGAAGGCGGCUCACUGGCCCGGUACUGACGCUGAGGUGCGAAAGCGUGGGGAGCAAACAGG